CCUACGGGUGGCAGCAGUGAGGAAUAUUGGUCAAUGGGCGGGAGCCUGAACCAGCCAAGCCGCGUGAGGGAAGAUGGUACAGCGUAUCGUAAACCUCUUUUGUCAGGGAACAAAGGCGGGGACUAGUCCCCGGAUGAGGGUACCUGAAGAAAAAGCAUCGGCUAACUCCGUGCCAGCAGCCGCGGUAAUACGGAGGAUGCGAGCGUUAUCCGGAUUUUGUGGGUUUAAAGGGUGCGCAGGCGGCCUUUUAAGUCAGCGGUAAAAGCCCGGGGCUAAACCCCGGCGAGCCGUUGAAACUGGCGGGCUGGAGUUGGAGAGAGGUACGCGGAAUGCGCGGUGUAGCGGUGAAAUGCUUAGAUAUCGCGCAGAA
rnacentral:rRNA from 1 species